rnacentral:rRNA from 1 species
UACAGAGGUCCCAAGCGUUGUUCGGAUUCACUGGGCGUAAAGGGCGCGUAGGCUGUGCUGUAAGUCAGGCGUGAAAUCCCCGGGCUCAACCUGGGAAUUGCGUUUGAUACUGCGGCGCUGGAAUGCAGGAGAGGAUGGCGGAAUUCCCAGUGUAGAGGUGAAAUUCGUAGAUAUUGGGAAGAACACCGGUGGCGAAGGCGGCCAUCUGGCCUGUAAUUGACGCUGAGGCGCGAAAGCGUGGGGAGCAAACAGG